UGGGUGAUGACGUGUACUAGGAGGAUCAUGACCACACUCCUUUGUGCGUAUACCAAAACCCACCGCAUUCGGCACUUUAAAAGGGUGAAUUGAUAGUACGCAAACGCUACCUUAGAGCUGUUAUGAAGCACACAACAAAACAGGGCUGGGGUUGUCGCUCCACAAGAGGGCGCUCGCUUCGCAUUGAAGACUUUGGGUUCAAACCCCAGUGCUGCAACAAAGGGAAACAUUUCUGUUCCUGGCAGAGGGUGACCUUGUCAUGACUCCUCUAGCCAACCAGUACUGGGGUCCUCCGCACCCUAGCUUCCCUUUCUAGUACUGAAGCGAACGGGACUGGAGAGGUGGUGCACAUCCCCACCAUAAGGAAGAACGAAGAGGCAUCAAAUGCCUGUGGGUUUCUCCAAGAAUCUAAAAGGAGCCGAUUACAGCUGACCCCCUUGUGAAUGAAGAAGAAAGCGAUCAAUGCUGUGAGAUGCCACAGGGUCUUGGUGGACCGGGGAACAGAGAACAUGACAGCAGCAAUAAACAAGGCAUGAUGUAUAUCAAAGUGGCCUAUGGUUUACACUUCACUCGAUCUCCCUCCCACAGUCUCAAAAUUGACAGUUCUGUUUUCCACUCAUUAUCAUGAAUUAAAGCCAAUAUGCCAAC
ensembl:lincRNA